rnacentral:rRNA from 1 species
UACAGAGGGUGCAAGCGUUAAUCGGAAUUACUGGGCGUAAAGGGUGCGUAGGUGGUUAAAUAAGUUAGGUGUGAAAGUCCUGGGCUCAACCUGGGGAUUGCGCCUAAUACUGUUUAGCUGGAGUACUGUAGAGGAAGGUGGAAUUUCCGGUGUAGCGGUGAAAUGCGUAGAUAUCGGAAGGAACAUCAGUGGCGAAGGCGACCUUCUGGACAGAUACUGACACUGAGGCACGAAAGCGUGGGGAGCAAACAGG